GCGCACUGCGGCGCCUGAAGCCGCGGCCGCUGCCCUCACUUCGGCGGCUGCCCGCUCUCCAGCUUGGAGGGGUCCUGGCGCCGCGAGGGAUGCACGCUUGCGGUGCUAGCGUUGCUCAAGAAAAAUUGCUGGCUACGCUGUGAACCUAUUAGAAUGCUGCUCUGCUGCUGCUAAGUCGCUUCAGUCGUGUCCGACUCUGUGCGACCCCAUGGACGGCAGCCCACCAGGCUCCGCCGUCCCUGGGAUAUUAGAAUGCUACAUACCUGUAUAUCGGUGUUCACUGUGGAACAAAAGCUUUAUAUUAUGUACAAGGAAAAGCAUGAUGAAUUAUUUAAAGAAUCCUUCUGUGUAUAAGCAUAAAUGUGGGAAAUAUUAUGUUUGGAUCAAGAUCUUA